UUAGUAACAAAUAAAAUUGGGAAUUCCCGAGAUUACAAAAUCGCUCAUCGCCAAUUAAGGAUCUGUUUUUAACAGUCGUUUUUUAUCGCAGGACAUAUAUUUGAGACACAACAAACAGAUACUGCUGCAGACAAGAAGAGAAUAUAGAUUUAACCCACAGCAUAAAACGGCCUAAUCAGCAUCGUGAGCAGCAUAAUAUAAAGGUCAAAGUUGCAUCCACGGAGAAACAUAAAUUCUGCCAUCCUCCUUAUUCCUCAUUGAAGAUAAAAUGGCAUCAUUCGUAGACCAGGCAAAGUGAAAUCAAGCAUUCUGCAAUCACCAUCAGGCUUAAUGUCAUUAAAUAAAAUAUUAUUAAUUUUACUUU
rnacentral:sRNA from 1 species